CCCCCCCCCCCCCCCCGAUGGGUUACUCACCCAGCCUGGACCAUGUGUUUCUUCGAAUAAACAUGUCUGCUUAAUGAGUAAAUGUAAAAGAAACUGCAAUGCAGAGCAGAGGUUCACAGGGUUUGUUUUAAUGAGUUUGCUGGGCUCCUCUUGUGGAGGUUCGCCUGGUCUUGCCAAGGGAGGGGUCGGGCAAGCGGCUGUAAUGUGAAUUGGAAUUUACCGAUUCCUGGUAGCACUUUAUUACUCAUGACCAGGAAAUCUGUUUGUUUCAAAACCCCAGAUUAUGAGCACGAAAUACAGAGAAUUCGAUCUUCUUAUUGUACUGGGAAGGACUCGUUGUCUUACAGAACCGGAGGGAACAGGACGCCCCCGGCUGUAAAUGGCCUCGUAAACCUUAGCUGCGGCGCUGCAUGUUUACUCACCUGAAGGAGGGGGAAAAACAGGCUUAGGAAGCAGGUCUUAGGGGUGUAAAUAGAUGUGUGAGAAAGAGCCAUCGCUCAGCAAAGGCAAGAAGGAGCAGUUUAAGGAGCAAAAGUCAGGUUCUCUGUUUAUUUUGUGGGUUUUUUUUAAGUAUUUUAACAUCACACAGGUCAAGGAGAGGUGGUCGAUUUAAAUGUGCCAAAUGGCACGUGGUCACAUGACUCAUCAGAAAGGCUUCCUAUUGGUGUGGUGCUGUCAGUCCUGACCGGUUACACACAGCCUAAAUGUGUCUGUAGUAACCCUUACUGUGUGUUGCAUGUCCUGUCUGGGUUUGUGGCUUCUAAAUGCUGCCGUUACUGAAAAUAUCCUGAAGGCAAUGCUUUAGUAAUAACAGUAAUUCAUCCCUGUGCUGUGAGGGAAUUGCUUGUCUUGUUCUGCAUGAAAGGCACAGACACAGAGAUAUUUGGAAGUUAGAUGGAGGUUGGGGCCAGUGCCGGUUCGGGAUCAGUGCUGAAGGGCCCCACCAGUGAUGGGAUCUCCCUGGCCCUCCCUGUGCCGGUGUGGCUGGCAGCAGAGGAUGCUGGGACAUGUCAUCUCACGAUUUUUUUUGGUCCCUAUCUGAGGCUCGCUGAAAAUGCUGCCCCCCCCCCCCCCCCCACCGCAGAUACAGUCAGACCACUCCUCAGCAAAGUGGCUGUCCGAUUUCGGGGCUCGUGAGCGCGGUUGGUGCAAGUGGAGCUGGAGGCUUGACAGACGGUCCCGACAGACAUGGAAUCCCACCAGGCUGACAAGGCAGGAAAUCCAGCGACGACGGAAUGGAAAAACAGCCCCCAGAAGAGGACAACCAGAGGAGGAGCUGAGAUCAGAACCCAGGUCUCGAACAGUUGGCUGCUGAGGUCACUCCAGUGGGGGCACCAGGCAACGCUGUCGUCAUGGUGACAGCAGAAGCACCUGUCCGCCGCAUAGCCGUGGUUGAGCAGCAGUCGCAUCAUGAUCUCGUCCCGCAGGCAGUACUGCAGGGCCGUGGGGAACACCGUGUCGCUGACCGCUGUGAAGUAGCAGUUGACGUCCGCCUGUUUGGACAGGAGCAGCCUCACGAUUUCGUAGUACCCGGCCCUGACGGCCACUAGGAGGCAGCGUAACGGGUCUCUGUCUGGUUUGGCACCGGCGUUCAGGAGCAUCUCCGUACAUGGGGCGUCGCCGUUGGACACGGCGAAGUAGAGGGGGCUCCGCCUUCGGUCACCGUAGUUCUCGGAGAUGUGCUUCUCCAGGACAGUGUUGACCUCAUAGCCGUUGUCUAUAAGCAGUCGCAGGCACUGAGCGUGGCCUCCGUCCGCCGCCGAGUGGAUGGGGCUCUGGCCGGAGAGCCGGACUGCCUUUUUGGAGGUGAUGGGAAUCAGGAUUUUUAACGCCCUGUAUGCAAGAUGGAGACAGAAACUGUGUCACUCCACAGAUGGACCCUAAGCUGUACUGUACAUGAGGGUCAGAGCAGGAUCUUGAGGAUGGACCACCCUCAAUGCUUGAGCAGAAAAAUCUCGAGUCUGCAACAUUUUCCAGGGAAUGCGGGCGGGCUAAAGGGCGAAGGUGUGCAGCUUCGCCGCUGGACAUUAAAAGUUGAACAUUGACAGGCUUAUCAGGUGCCAGUGAGAAUACUGACAGAUAGUGGCCCUCGUAGGCGGCCCGGUGGAUGGGCAGGUGCCCGGUGACCCCAGCCAGGUCAGGAUCGGCCCCAUGGCGUAACAGGAGUUCCACGCAGUCAGGAUUUCCCGAGCCGGCGGCCUCCAUUAGCACGCUCUCGCCAUUGCAGGCCUGCGCGUUCACGUUACUGCCUGGCAGGAGAUGCAGGAAGUCAGACAGGCAGGGCCCCCAAACCAUUAUGGAAGUCAGAUUGAUACCUCCCCUCCCAACGACCUUCAAGAGACCCCACCCCGGUCAGCCAUUGCCUUAUAGCAAAAACACAUGAGCCAAAUAUAUACUACAGAACAUGUUAAAUAGGUGAAAAGAUAUAGGGCAAAUAUUCUUACGAGCUUAUGGCUCCUGCUUGCAAUAAUGCUUGCAUACUUAUUUACAUAAGUCCCGGUUUACAUUAGUAGGGUUUACGGAAGGCAAGGGCUCCCUGGAGAGUAAGGCUAGAGCCUGCAAGGGAAGCUAAAUCUUAUGCUCUAAAAAUUCCUAGUGAGAAGAAAAUGAGAGCAGUUUGCACGUAAUAAUUUGCACACUUUUUAAGCACUGGGAGGAGCUCCCAAGGUGAAGUUUAAUGUUUCAUAUUGGUAUUAUGUAAUGCUGUACUUGCUGAUGCUGAAUGAGCAUUAAGUGAUUAGAGGCAUCUUGGUGGGCAGGACGCUACAUAACGACAGAAGCAAACUUUACCGUAACGAAUGAGCAUGUCCAGCGUCUCCAGCUGCCCGUGCUGGGCGGCGAUGCCCAGAGGGGUGACGCCGUAGCGGUCCUUCUGGGAGACGCUGGCGCCGGUCCUCAGCAGCAUCGUGGCGAGGUGCCCACAGCCCAGUCUUGCCACCUCAUGCAUGGACGUCCACUUCCCCUGGCACGCCUGGUCCACCAGGGCGCCGCUCUUGAUCAGAAGGGACACUAUCCCCAGUGACCGCAUUCUCACCGCUCCGUGGGACAAGGAAGUUCAUCAGUGCCAUAUAAGGAAGAGGGGAUUCGUUUCUGUCGUUCAUGCUGUGUGGAGAAGCUCCAUUUUCCAGCAGGACCUUCACGUUCUCCAGAAGCACGUCAGCCACGGGCUGCACCGCGGCCGUGUGGAGUGGAAGCCAACCCCGUCCGUCUCGCUCCUCAAAGGCCGCCUGGAAGUCAGCCAGCUCCUGGAGGGAGAACAUUUCGCCUGCGGUUCGACAGACCGUGGCGGGCAGGGAGGGGGGCGCACGACCUGUGAGCUUCUGAGGACCAGCUGGUGUUCACAGAUCUGUUACCUUUCCAUGGCUUGUAAGCAGUGGGGAAUGUGGGACUCCUGAAUGCUGAGCUGGAUGACGUACUGGGUGACAUCAUCUUCCUCCACCUCGUCUGUGACGCUCAUCGCUUUAGGAGGAACAGCAGAACUUUCGUUUCUACAAAUCUGCGGUACAGCACAAUGUUUGUGCAGAGCAUCACUAAAGUAGAGCCCGGGGAACAGGCGGAAAGCAUCACACAGGCUGGCGUCGGCAGGCAGGUUUUACAUGCAUGCUAGUCGUCAGGAAUGUUAAACGCCAGACAGAGUCAACCAGCAGCAGCUAGUGCCAGGCACUUUCAGAGGCUUUCUGUUCCUGUUUCUGUCCAGUUUUAACUUAGAAUUGCAUAUGAAAUCAGUCUGGGUCUCACCUGUGGCAAAUAUGUCCCGGAGCUCGCAGCACAGUCAGAGGUCUGAGUCCUCAAAGGUGCAGAGUGUUUUUAUAUUUAGGCCUGACCUGCUGUCAUUGCGGCCAGAAUCUGAGAAUGCGAGUCCUGUCAUUCUGUCUAAUCUGUCUCACGCUAAUAAUAGUGUCAUUGCUCACUGCUAGCGUGACUUACGCACGGAGGCUGUGCCUUUGCUUUGCUUUGCUAUAUUCCUAUCAGGAUAUGUUCUUACGUUGACCUCACACACUUCGACAAAGAGAAAUUGGUUCACAGUUUAACCACAAACUGCGCACACAUGCUCACAAAGCUCAGACUAAAUGUUCUUUAUCAGAAGUGUAUCCAGGAAAUUUGCUGAGGGAAAAAUCAUUUUCAUAACCUAAAUAUGAUGCAAUUUGCCCAUUCUCAUGGCGAACCAAGGCACCCACGUGGCGACCUAGCUAAGCCUCUCUGCCACAUCCCGUGUGUAUCUGUAUAUGUUCUGCAAUCUGAGCGAUUAUCCAUACCUAUAUAGAAGUAUAUUCAUGUGUAUGAUGUUGCCGGCAUACUAUGCUCGCUGAAGGUAUUUAUGAGUUUAAUAAAGUGCAAGUCUCAUGAUCGGACGGAAAUGGCAAA